rnacentral:rRNA from 1 species
GACGUAGGAGGCGAGCGUUGUCCGGAUUCAUUGGGCGUAAAGAGCACGCAGGCGGUUUGGCAAGUCGGACGUGAAAAUCCGGGGCUCAACCCCGGACCUGCAUCCGAAACUGCCCGACUAGAGGUAGGUAGGGGAGAUCGGAAUUCCUGGUGUAGCGGUGAAAUGCGCAGAUAUCAGGAGGAACACCGGUGGCGAAGGCGGAUCUCUGGGCCUUACCUGACGCUCAGGUGCGAAAGCAUGGGGAGCGAACAGG